GCAAGAUCCAGACCUAAAGGACAAGCGUCUGAAAACCAUGCAAUUCCAUAGAGUGGUCCACAUUAAAUCUCAUCUGUGAUGUUUUUAUUGGGCCGGAGUUGCUCAGCUAGAUCUGCUCCUGGAGUCCUUGGAAAGCCUGGUCACCAAUGUCCUACAAAACAGCUAAGAGCGUUUUAACCCAUUUCCGGUGGAGCUAUGUGAUGAUCCUUUGCCGUGUAAGCGUGAGGCCCUUGGACUAACGGAUGACUCUCUCAGGGAAGCUUCCGCUGACCAGCUCAUUAGGCCAAUCAUCACGUUAGAAGCCUGACUCCUUGCCACCACCGUGAUGUGAAGAAGCCCACACGAUCUACAUAUGGAGGGAGAGGCCAAGUGGAGAAGCACCACAGGGAUCAAACACGUGAGUGGAGAUUUCUUGGACCUUCAGCCUCACUCAGCCCAGUUGACCCAUGAGCUGAAUGCAGGGGAACAAAUGACUCCAGCCUAAGUGGAGCAGAAGAACCCUUUGGUCAAGCUCAACCUGAAUCCCUGACUAACAGAUCACUAGCAAAUAAUUU
rnacentral:lncRNA from 1 species